rnacentral:rRNA from 1 species
AUUCCAAGAAUUAAGCCUGCAUGUCUAGUACAAGCCGAACUAAGGUGAAACCGCGAAUGGCUCAUUAAAUCACACCUAAUCUACAGUACCGAUAAACAGUUACUUGGAUAACUGAGGUAAUUCUUGAGCUAAUACAUGCGAUGAAACCGCGACUCACGAAGCGGUGCUUUUAUUAGAUCAAAACCAGACGGCGCCCCGUCAAAAGGGUGCCGGCAAACCUUGGCGAUUCUGAAUAACUUUGGGCUGAUAGCAUUGCCUUGCGCAGGCUACAAGUUCUUCGAAGGUGUGCCCUAUCAACUUUCGACUGUGUCACAGCUGGGCACAGUGGUUUUGACGGGUAACGGGGAAUCAGGGUUCGAUUCCGGAGAGGGAGCAUUAAAAUCGGCUACCACAUCCAAGGAAGGCAGCAGGCACGCAAAUUACCCAAUGGUCGCAGACCGAGGUAGUGACGAAAAAUAACAAUACCGGACUCUUCCGAGGCCCGGUAAUUGGAAUGAGACGACUUUAAAUCCGUUUACGAGGAUCUAUUGGAGGGCAAGUCUGGUCCCCCCGUGCCCCCGCCCCGCCCGGGGCGCGCCCCGGGCGGGGUGG